ensembl:lncRNA novel transcript, antisense to CARD8
ACCCGCUGAGCAUUGUGGGGCCCGCUUGGAUCUCCUUGUCCAAAGGGUCUGGGCGCCGGGGCUGCAGUCUCUGGGUGAGGAGGCGGACGCGGGAAACCUGCUUCGGUCUCCAUGGUUACGAGCCGCUCAGCGCGCAGGAGGGGGAUUCAAAGGAAAUACGGAAGCUAAAAGGAAACUGCUGAACAGAAAACAAUGUCAACUAAAAAUACUACAAGCAAAAAACAUCACUGAGAAUGAAGGUGAGAAAAAGAUGUCCUCAGAGGAAGCAAAAAAUAAGAGAAUCUGUACCUAUCAGAACCACUCUAAAAGAACUAAAAAACGUCUAUCAGAGGAAGUGGAAAUUUGCAGAACGAAAUUUGGAAAAUAAUGAAGGAAGAGCAACAGAAAUGUGGUCUGUUUUGAGACAUGAGUUCGGAAACUUACACUGUGUGGAGCCUGACAAUGAAGCCAACAAUAUGGAAGGCGGGACGAAGACAUGGAGAAACAUUCCUCCCUUGUGAUGUUGUUUGAGCCCAUGAAUCAGCCUCCCUGGAGUCAGUCCCACAUCUCUUCCUUGAACUCGCCUGAGCCAUGACACUCUUGAUAAUUUCACUCCAUUUAAGUUGGACUUUCUGUCAUUUGCCACACAAGACUUUACACAGAUCCAGAGGACAUUGCAGAUUGCUGCCUUGGGUGAUUUUUAAAAUUAACGUGGACAUGAAGUCAUCAGGAGACAAGGAGUUCCAAACCUGGAUUUAUUGCUUACUAGAUGAUGGAAACUUGGUCCUCUCAGUGUUAACUCUAUUUUAUUUAUUUACUUAUUUAUUUAUUUAUUUUGAGACAAAGUCUCACUCUUGUCCCCAGGCUGGAGUGCGAUGGCACGAUCUCGGCUUACUGCAAUCUCCGCCCCUGGGUUCAAGCGAUUCUCCUGCCUCAGCCCCCCGAGUAGCUGGGAUCACAGGCAUGUGCCACCACGCCCAGCUAGUUUUUGUAUUUUUAGUAGAGGCAGGGUUUCACCAUGUUGGCCAGGCUGGUCUCAAACUCCUGACCUCAGGUGAUCCACCUGCCUCGGCCUCCCAAAGUGUUGGGAUUACAAGUGUGAGCCACUGCACCCAGCCAACUCUUUAUAUUAAAUAAUGUAAAUAAUUUUUUCUCUGCUAUAUACUAAUUCCAGUGUCCUUAACAGAUCCUUGGCUGAUAUCUGCUCUUCACUUUUACAACAGCCCCACCGUUCCCCACUUCCUAUUCAUUCCCAACCCACACUCAAUCAUCCACGCUGUUUUGAAGAGCCAACACAUUGUUAUCCAUCCUUUAAUAGUUACUCUUGCCUUUCCGUCUAAAGUCCAAAAUAUUUCAACUUUUAUUCUUGGACUUUCAACUGCCAGCUCUUGACUAUCCUUCUCAUGUCACCUUUACUCUGUCCCUCUAACAGUUUAAUUCACAGCCAUAUCAAACUACUUUAACUUAGAGUUCCCCAGACGCAAGAUAUUAAAUAUUUACCCCCAAUAAUUUGCUGUUGUAUGCUCUUUUGUGUCUACAUGAUGUCCUCACGCCCUUCUGGGACUAAAUCAUACUCAUUGUCUGUAUUUAUGACAUCAGUCAUUCUUGGCAGAUGACAAGGAUGGAAGGAAUGGAGCCUUGCUGAGAGAUGCUGUUACAGCAGGCAGCUCGUCAGAUAUGAGCAGGGCAGGAGAGGACUCCUCACCCCACCAGAAAUGUCAGGCAACCAUCAGGUGAUGGUCAGGCAGUUGUUACACCGUCUCUCUAAAAUAAUAAUUGGUUGCAGCCGGCACCAGGGAAAGGCCGUCUCCUGACAGAGAGAAAACACCUGAAACUGGUGAUCAGCAGCUUCCCAAUAAGAUCUCGGGAACUGGGCCAGUGGGCUCAAGAAUGUGCAUUAAGAGCAGAGUUUAACUGGCCUAUAACCUCUUACGGAGGUUGAGCUGGUAAGGGAAGAAUGCCUCAAGUGAGCAUGCGUAUGACUCCAAGAAACACACUGCGCAUGCUCCCCUUCCAAGCCCCUGCGGGCCACUAUGCAGGCGACCAGCCCACCCCAGGGGAAGAAUCAGGGAAGAAGGGAUGCAAGACCCCGGAAGUGUGCCAACAUAUUAAACCCCAAGUCAAAAGGUCAAACCGUGCACUUGUCUUUCAAGUCACCCCCUCGGCCGUCUUCCAAGUGUACUUUCCUCCUUCCUU